rnacentral:snoRNA from 1 species
AGGUGAGGAAAUCAAGGCACUGAUGUUCAAGGCAAUGUACGCAUGCUUUGAAAAUAGCAGGUUCCUUGGGAGUAUGUGCAACCUGAUUCAUGUAUGAGUUGCCCUAAGUGAUCUUGGAGAUGGUU